GCGCCCCAGGAUGGGCGGGAU
rnacentral:rRNA from 1 species